AAAAGCUCUCUCGCGCAGGAUACCUCGUUGUGAAGUGUGCGACGUUGCUCAGACUCAGCUUGAGAGUCCACAGUUCAUACAAAUACACAUCGGCUUUAUUCCCUGCUCGCACAACUGACUUUCGAUCUUGCAACCUCGCGCUCUUACGAUAGAACAAAGCAUUACCACAUUGGCAAGACUGCAUAUAAGGUAACAACACUACAAAGUGCAACCUAGCCUCUGUAUGGAAGCGCGGCUUGGACUGACCUUGUGAUCAGAUCAAACUAGUUAGCAUGAUAAAAGAAUAAUUUACAUUUGAAAGGUAACAAGGUUUAUAUCAUCGGACAAAGUCAACUACAAUCUCGCAUCCGUUCAAAGGCCUGACUACAACCACCAAACUGUAAAAUGGGCCAUUUAAGAGCAUCGUAUUAUCAAUAUUAUUGAUAGUAACUGAAUGUUGGUUAAAUGCCGUUUUGAAGUCACCACACCUAGCGCCCCCUUCUCCUUCGAACUUCAGAGUCUCUCAGGGGACUCUUAUUCCACUUUGUUUAGGAUGUCUGUUUCAAUUCAGCUAAUUGUCAUUCUUCUUUAACCAUUACUUGUUUUGUAGCACAAAAUCUAAAACCUUCCUUUGACACCGCUCAGGGCCAUGUUAUUACAGUGUUUGAGAAUGCAACCGUAGGUUCAUCCGUAGCUAUUAUAAGAGCUACAGACAAUGACAAUGAUCCCAUGGUCUUCUCGCUGGAUUCCUCGGUUCAGGAUCUGCUCCAGAUUGACAACACUGGUAAUUUGACACUUCAAAAAGAACUCGACACAGAGACGACAGAUCAAUACGAGGUUACAGUAUAUGUUGCUGACCAAUGUGACGGUUGUACCUUAGAGGAUCGGAAG